AUUGACCGCUGGCGGCAGGCUUAACACAUGCAAGUCGAGCGAGCGGCGGACGGGUGAGUAAUGUCUGGGCACCUGCCUGAUGGCGGGGGAUAACUACUGGAAACGGUAGCUAAUACCGCAUACCCUCAGAUGUGCCCAGAUGGGAUUAGCUAGUAGGUGGGGUAAUGGCUCACCUAGGCGACGAUCCCUAGCUGGUCUGAGAGGAUGACCAGCCACACUGGAACUGAUACAGGGGUCAGACGCCAACGGGAGGCAGCAGUGGGGAAUAUUUGACAAUGGGCGCAAGCCUGAUGCAGCCAUGCCGCGUGUGUGAAGAAGGCCUUAGGGUUUUAAAGCACUUUCAGCGAGGAGGCGUUACUCGCAGAAGAAGCACCGGCUAACUCCGUGCCAGCCGCUGCGGUAAUUC
rnacentral:rRNA from 1 species